CCCAUCUGAGGCCUACUGUACCUGUUUUAUUCAUGAUCACCGCAGAUACUUCUACAAUUGACCCGCUUUGUGUCUGAUGUUGAUGCAGUCUGGGCACUAGUAUCUGUUGGCUUGCUGACUAUCACUGAAGAUGAAGUACUUCUCCAAAUCUUCUCUGCCUUGACCCUGUGUCUUCUGCCAUCAUUGUUCAGUGUAGUACUGCAAAGAACAGUCUCCAGGGUCUACCUCGAACAUUUGCUUCCGGACCGCCAUGUGCUACCUUUGGAUUACUGGUACAUGUGGAUUACCCUGAUACUGUGAAGAACACUUACAAUAUGAUGCUUGACUUGGGACAGAAAAAAAAAACAUUGGCAACUUGCGUGGCCAACUCAUUGCCAUACUUAAAGGGAUAGUUCACCCAAAAAUGAA
ensembl:lncRNA